GGGGGUACGUAACCGUCAGGUUUGGGAGAGCGCAUGACUGGCAGUCAUGAGGUCAGCGGUUCGAUCCCGCUUAUCUCCACCA
rnacentral:tRNA from 1 species